rnacentral:rRNA from 1 species
GGUUAAGUGACUAAGCGUACACGGUGGAUGCCUAGGCAGUCAGAGGCGAUGAAGGGCGUGCUAAUCUGCGAAAAGCGUCGGUAAGGUGAUAUGAACCGUUAUAACCGGCGAUACCCGAAUGGGGAAACCCAGUGUGUUUCGACACACUAUCAUGUCAUGAAUACAUAGUGGCAUGAGGCGAACCGGGGGAACUGAAACAUCUAAGUACCCCGAGGAAAAGAAAUCAACCGAGAUUCCCCCAGUAGCGGCGAGCGAACGGGGAGGAGCCCAGAACCUGAAUCGGCUUGUGUGUUAGUGGAAGCGUCUGGAAAGUCGCGCAGCAAAGGGUGAUAGCCCCGUACACUAAAAUGCACAGGUCGUGAGUUCGAUGAGUAGGGCGGGACACGUGACAUCCUGUCUGAAUAUGGGGGGACCAUCCUCCAAGGCUAAAUACUCCUGACUGACCGAUAGUGAACCAGUACCGUGAGGGAAAGGCGAAAAGAACCCCGGCGAGGGGAGUGAAAUAGAACCUGAAACCGUGUACGUACAAGCAGUGGGAGCACCUUCGUGGUGUGACUGCGUACCUUUUGUAUAAUGGGUCAGCGACUUAUAUUUUGUAGCAAGGUUAACCGUAUAGGGGAGCCGUAGGGAAACCGAGUCUUAACUGGGCGAAUAGUUGCAAGGUAUAGACCCGAAACCCGGUGAUCUAGCCAUGGGCAGGUUGAAGGUUGGGUAACACUAACUGGAGGACCGAACCGACUAAUGUUGAAAAAUUAGCGGAUGACUUGUGGCUGGGGGUGAAAGGCCAAUCAAACCGGGAGAUAGCUGGUUCUCCCCGAAAGCUAUUUAGGUAGCGCCUCGUGAACUCAUCUUCGGGGGUAGAGCACUGUUUCGGCUAGGGGGCCAUCCCGGCUUACCAAACCGAUGCAAACUCCGAAUACCGAAGAAUGUUAUCACGGGAGACACACGGCGGGUGCUAACGUCCGUCGUGAAGAGGGAAACAACCCAGACCGCCAGCUAAGGUCCCAAAGUCAUGGUUAAGUGGGAAACGAUGUGGGAAGGCAUAGACAGCCAGGAUGUUGGCUUAGAAGCAGCCAUCAUUUAAAGAAAGCGUAAUAGCUCACUGGUCGAGUCGGCCUGCGCGGAAGAUGUAACGGGGCUAAACCAUGCACCGAAGCUGCGGCAGCGACGCUUAGGCGUUGUUGGGUAGGGGAGCGUUCUGUAAGCCGUUGAAGGUGGCCUGUGAGGGUUGCUGGAGGUAUCAGAAGUGCGAAUGCUGACAUAAGUAACGAUAAAGCGGGUGAAAAGCCCGCUCGCCGGAAGACCAAGGGUUCCUGUCCAACGUUAAUCGGGGCAGGGUGAGUCGACCCCUAAGGCGAGGCUGAAAAGCGUAGUCGAUGGGAAACAGGUUAAUAUUCCUGUACUUGGUGUUACUGCGAAGGGGGGACGGAGAAGGCUAGGCUAGCCGGGCGACGGUUGUCCCGGUUUAAGCGUGUAGGGGGUGUGACCUGGUAAAUCCGGUUGCAUGCUAACCCUGAGGCGUGAUGACGAUGCACUACGGUGCAGAAGUAGUUGAUGCCCUGCUUCCAGGAAAAUCCUCUAAGCUCCAGGUAACAUUAAAUCGUACCCCAAACCGACACAGGUGGUCAGGUAGAGAAUACCAAGGCGCUUGAGAGAACUCGGGUGAAGGAACUAGGCAAAAUGGUGCCGUAACUUCGGGAGAAGGCACGCUGGCAUGUAGGUGAAGUCCCUCGCGGAUGGAGCUGAAGCCAGUCGAAGAUACCAGCUGGCUGCAACUGUUUAAUAAAAACACAGCACUGUGCAAACACGAAAGUGGACGUAUACGGUGUGACGCCUGCCCGGUGCUGGAAGGUUAAUUGAUGGGGUCAGCCGCAAGGCGAAGCUCUUGAUCGAAGCCCCAGUAAACGGCGGCCGUAACUAUAACGGUCCUAAGGUAGCGAAAUUCCUUGUCGGGUAAGUUCCGACCUGCACGAAUGGCGUAAUGAUGGCCAGGCUGUCUCCACCCGAGACUCAGUGAAAUUGAACUCGCUGUGAAGAUGCAGUGUACCCGCGGCAAGACGGAAAGACCCCGUGAACCUUUACUAUAGCUUGACACUGAACAUUGAGCCUUGAUGUGUAGGAUAGGUGGGAGGCUUUGAAGCGUGGACGCCAGUCUGCGUGGAGCCAUCCUUGAAAUACCACCCUUUAAUGUUUGAUGUUCUAACUCGGCCCCGUGAUCCGGGGUGAGGACAGUGUCUGGUGGGUAGUUUGACUGGGGCGGUCUCCUCCCAAAGAGUAACGGAGGAGCACGAAGGUUAGCUAAUCACGGUCGGACAUCGUGAGGUUAGUGCAAAGGCAUAAGCUAGCUUGACUGCGAGAGUGACGGCUCGAGCAGGUACGAAAGUAGGUCUUAGUGAUCCGGUGGUUCUGAAUGGAAGGGCCAUCGCUCAACGGAUAAAAGGUACUCCGGGGAUAACAGGCUGAUACCGCCCAAGAGUUCAUAUCGACGGCGGUGUUUGGCACCUCGAUGUCGGCUCAUCACAUCCUGGGGCUGAAGUAGGUCCCAAGGGUAUGGCUGUUCGCCAUUUAAAGUGGUACGCGAGCUGGGUUUAGAACGUCGUGAGACAGUUCGGUCCCUAUCUGCCGUGGGCGUUGGAAGAUUGAGAGGGGUUGCUCCUAGUACGAGAGGACCGGAGUGAACGCACCACUGGUGUUCGGGUUGUCAUGCCAAUGGCAUUGCCCGGUAGCUAAGUGCGGAAAAGAUAAGCGCUGAAAGCAUCUAAGCGCGAAACUUGCCUCAAGAUGAGUCUUCCCUGGGUCUUUAAGGCCCCUGAAGGAACGUUUAAGACUAAGACGUUGAUAGGCUGGGUGUGUAAGUGCAGCGAUGCAUUGAGCUAACCAGUACUAAUGAUCCGUGAGGCUUAACCUU